rnacentral:lncRNA from 1 species
UAUGUAGACUUUAAUUAAGAUAUCCCGCGUUUUAUAAACCAUCGCACUCCAUUGCGCCAAAGUCGUCAGCUUGAGUUGUUCGUGGAGCGUUUUCACAAAUUCUGGUAUUAAUACUUUGUUGUUUCCAGUUAAUCGCCAUUUUGAAUACGUGUUUUAAAUAUUUAUAUAUUUAAAUGAUACUUGUCCACACAUGAACAUGUUGAAGCUGGUUACGAGGUUUCAAUACAUAUUCGUACAAUCGUUCUUAAAGUUUUUGAAAAUACGUGUUGAAGUUUUGAUAACAAGAAAAAGAUGUGGUAUGAUUGGGGAUGAGACAACUCAUCGCAAGAAAUAAAAUGACACAGAAGUUUUCACCAUAAGUCACCCCACGGCCUUCAACAGUGAGUAAUGAACACACCACAGUAAUUAUUUCAUAAAUUA